UUCUCAGAGCCAAGCCUUCAUUUCAGAGGCAUUCACCUCUCCCCUUCUGUCUUGCCCAGGGAGGUUUACUUGCAGCAGGACUUUGCAUGAGGACAAAGAUGGACCAAGCUCACCUCCCUCAAGCUCAGAGACUGCAAAUGGACCUAACGCCUUACCUGCUGCCACCCAGGCCCAUCCUGGCAGAGUGGAGACCACCGGCAGGCAACAGAUUGGUUUUGUCAUUGUGGAAAUUACAAACACGACUCCAUCAAAAGGGAGUGACUACCAUGUUUUUCAUAUGAAAAAUAUGAAAGGAAAUGAGGCUGACGUAUAGCAUCUCUGUGUCUCCUGGCCUUUCUCAGAUAUUGGCAGUCUGCAUUCAUACCAGGCUGCUCCAGCGUUUGAACCGCCGCAUCUUAUUUUCUAAACAUAACUAUCUGAUUGUAGGUGUAACUAUUAAUUUAUGUCUUGGAGAUAUUUGAAUCAUAGAUGGCAGGAGAAGU